rnacentral:lncRNA from 1 species
CGGCGCUGCCCACCCACCACACCGCUAGCGCCUCUGAACCUCGCCAGGCACGUCCGGUUCUGCGGCCCCCACUCCGCCCCCGCCUGCCGGGAGCCGCGCAGUUACAAAGUGCCGGGAGCCGUGCAGGGCCAGUGAACCCCUCGCUGAGACUCAGUUUGCUGCCAUCACAAGUGCUCUGAGAAUCCUGGAGAGGGAGGAUAUUGGAGACAAACGGGACUGCUGCCCGCCUUUUAGGCGACCGUUGGAGGCUGCUCUGUGCCGGACACAGGCAGGCUCCCACAGCUCAGAAGUCAGCGGAGCAGAGUCCCCAGGAAACCAGGGUCAGGGAUGGAGGCUGCUGAGGAGCGGGUCUGGGAGGUGGAGGCCAGAUACAAGAAAACCACAGUACCAGUAAAUGACAAAGGCUGGAUCUUAACCCAAGUCCUCCGACUCUGAAGGCCAUACCCAACAGGUCCCAUUUUAUUUGUUUUACUUUUUUUUAAUUGAAGAAAAAAAAACUAGCAUUCCCCUACAGUGCCCCCCACCUGGUGGGGACAUCUUGGGUUGGCAAGGCCACCACUUUCAAGAGUAGAAGUGUUUUUCAGCAGG